UGGAAAUCCAUCAAUUUCAUAUUUAGAAGCAAGACGACUGUAUUUGUCAGCAUCUACUUUUGCAAUUACAAUGGGCUGCUUCAAUACAGCAAGAUUGGCAGAUGCUUUGUCCAACUCAGGAGAAAGACGUUUGCAGUGACCACACCAAGGAGCAUAGAAAUCGACAAACAUAUAAUCGAAAGUGGAAAUAGCCGCUUCGAAAUUGGAUUCGUCGAGUUCCAAUACUUUCCCAUCAAUGGCGAACUGUUGCUGCUCCGCCGACGACGAGGAACAUCGGAAGAGAAGGAGGAAGCCGAAGGUGAAGAUCGAAAUGGAGCGAAAAGGAACCAUUGUUG
rnacentral:misc_RNA from 1 species